AGCUAUUUUGGAAGUAAAAAUCGUAACAAGGUCUCCGUAGGUGAACCUGCGGAGGGAUCAUUACACAAAUAUGAAGGCGGGCUGGAACCUCUCGGGGUUACAGCCUUGCUGAAUUAUUCACCCUUGUCUUUUGCGUACUUCUUGUUUCCUUGGUGGGUUCGCCCACCACUAGGACAAACAUAAACCUUUUGUAAUUGCAAUCAGCGUCAGUAACAAAUUAAUAAUUACAACUUUCAACAACGGAUCUCUUGGUUCUGGCAUCGAUGAAGAACGCAGCGAAAUGCGAUAAGUAGUGUGAAUUGCAGAAUUCAGUGAAUCAUCGAAUCUUUGAACGCACAUUGCGCCCUUUGGUAUUCCAAAGGGCAUGCCUGUUCGAGCGUCAUUUGUACCCUCAAGCUUUGCUUGGUGUUGGGCGUCUUGUCUCUAGCUUUGCUGGAGACUCGCCUUAAAGUAAUUGGCAGCCGGCCUACUGGUUUCGGAGCGCAGCACAAGUCGCACUCUCUAUCAGCAAAGGUCUAGCAUCCAUUAAGCCUUUUUUUCAACUUUGACCUCGGAUCAGGUAGGGAACCCGGUCC
rnacentral:rRNA from 1 species